UACGAAGGGGGCGAGCGUUGUUCGGAAUUACUGGGCGUAAAGGGCGCGUAGGCGGCCCCUUUUGUCGCGUGUGAAAGCCCCCGGGCUCAACCUGGGAGGUGCGCGCGAAACGGGGGGGCUUGAGUUCGGGAGAGGAGAGUGGAAUUCCCAGUGUAGAGGUGAAAUUCGUAGAUAUUGGGAAGAACACCGGUGGCGAAGGCGG
rnacentral:rRNA from 1 species